AUGACUCCGUACCAGAUCGCCCGUGCUCAGCAGCAAGCGGGGGUGCUCCAGGUCCAAAUGCAGGCAAACCCUGCCGGCAUCAUCGCUCCACCUGCGAACCAGGCUCAGGUCAAGGCGAACCAUGGUCAGAAUCACCUUCCGGCGGCGCCGGAGGCCGUUCUGGUGAACCAGAUCUUCAGGCCCGUCGCAGUUGCUGCUUCUGGUUCUCAGGCGCUGGGGGCAGUAGCUUUCAUCCUUGCCGCUAGCAACAUCAUGCUCACUCUGCUGGUUCUGUUGUUCGUUGUGGCCAUCUAUUUUGGCGGCGGCAACUAG
rnacentral:rRNA from 1 species